CCUACGGGUGGCAGCAGUGAGGAAUAUUGGUCAAUGGACGCAAGUCUGAACCAGCCAUGCCGCGUGAAUGACGAAGGCCUUCGGGUCGUAAAGUUCUUUCGACAGGGAAGAAAAUGCCUAUAAGUAACUGUGUAUGUAUUGACGGUACCUGUAUAAGCAGCCCCGGCUAACUCCGUGCCAGCAGCCGCGGUAAUACGGAGGGGGCGAGCGUUGUUCGGAGUGACUGGGCGUAAAGAGCACGUAGGCGGUGUUGUAAGUCAUUAGUCAAAGACUAGAGCUCAACUUUAGUAAGGCUAGUGAUACUAUAAUACUAGAGUAUCAGAGAGGAUUGCAGAAUUCCUGGUGUAGCGGUGAAAUGCGUAGAUAUCAGGAGGAAUACCGUUAGCGAAGGCGGCAAUCUGGCUGGAAACUGACGCUGAGGUGCGAAAGCGUGGGUAGCAAACAGGAUUAGAUACCCCUGUAGUC
rnacentral:rRNA from 1 species